rnacentral:rRNA from 1 species
GACGAACGCUGGCGGCGUGCUUAACACAUGCAAGUCGAGCGGUAAGGCCCUUUCGGGGGUACACGAGCGGCGAACGGGUGAGUAACACGUGGGUGACCUGCCCUCAGCUCUGGGAUAAGCCUGGGAAACCGGGUCUAAUACUGGAUAUGACUCCAUGACGCAUGUUGUGGGGUGGAAAGCCUUGUGCGGCUGAGGAUGGGCCCGCGGCCUAUCAGCUUGUUGGCGGGGUGAUGGCCUACCAAGGCGACGACGGGUAGCCGGCCUGAGAGGGCGACCGGCCACACUGGGACUGAGACACGGCCCAGACUCCUACGGGAGGCAGCAGUGGGGAAUCUUGCGCAAUGGGCGAAAGCCUGACGCAGCGACGCCGCGUGAGGGAUGACGG